rnacentral:rRNA from 1 species
GACGAACGCUGGCGGCGUGCCUAAUACAUGCAAGUCGAACGCAGGGGGGACGGGUGAGUAACACGUGGCUAACCUCCUCUUAGCCUGGGAUAACUUCGGGAAACCGGAGCUAAACCGGAUAUUUAAGGUUGGCAUCGCGUUGCAUUAGCUAGUUGGUAAGGUAACGGCCUACCAAGGCAACGAUGCAUAGCCGACCUGAGAGGGUGAUCGGCCACACUGGAACUGAGACACGGUCCAGACUCCUACGGGAGGCAGCAGUAGGGAAUCUUCCGCAAUGGGCGAAAGCCUGACGGAGCAACGCCGCGUGAGUGAUGAAGGUCUUCGGAUCGUAAAACUCUGUUAUUAGGGAAGCGUUACCUAAUCAGAAAGCCACGGCUAACUACGUGCCAGCAGCCGCGGUAAUUC